UACGUAGGCAGCAAGCGUUGUUCGGAAUUAUCUGGGUACGGUAAAGAGUGUGUAGGCGGUGCUCCAAGUCAUGGUGUGGAAAUCCUCCCGGCUUAACAUGGGAGGGUGCAUUAGAAACUGGAAUGCUAGAGGAUGGGAGAGGUGAAGCGGAAUUCCUGGAUGUAGCGGUGAAAUGCGUAGAUAUCAGGAGGAACACCUGUGGUGUAGACAGCUUACUGGACCAUUUCAUGACGCUGAGACACGAAAGCGUGGGUAGCAAACAGG
rnacentral:rRNA from 1 species